rnacentral:rRNA from 1 species
GACUCACGCAGGAAUCUUACCGGGUCCGGACACACUGAGGAUUGACAGAUACAUUGCAAAAUAUGAUAGCUCUUUCAUAAUUAUGUGAUAGGUGGUGCAUGGCCGUUCUUAGUUCGUGGAGUGAUCUGUCUGCUUAAUUGCGUUGGUAUAUAUAAUGCAUGUUAAUUGCAUUUUUACCAUGCAACGAACGUGACCGCAACCUCUUGUUGCACUAUAGCUUCUCAUGGUGCAAAACUAGAGGGACCGCUGUAUUUAUUUCUUUUAGCCAGAGGAAGGAUGCGGCAAUAACAGGUCUGUGAUGC